rnacentral:rRNA from 1 species
UACGUAGGGGGCAAGCGUUGUCCGGAAUCAUUGGGCGUAAAGAGCGUGUAGGCGGCCAGAUAAGUCCGCUGUGAAAUCUCGAGGCUCAACUUCGAGCUGUCGGUGGAAACUGUCUGGCUAGAGUCCGGAAGAGGAGAAUGGAAUUCCUGGUGUAGCGGUGAAAUGCGCAGAUAUCAGGAAGAACACCGGUGGCGAAGGCGGCCUGCUGGGCAGUUGCUGACACUGAGGCGCGACAGCGUGGGGAGCAAACAGG